rnacentral:lncRNA from 1 species
UUCGUAGUCCUCAUUAUUUUUAUAAAAUAAUGUAUCAAUAAAUGUGAUGAGAAUUUAUUUGAGUAUAGAUAUUGUCUAGAAGAUAAUAUUUGUAUUCAAACUCACAGUUUUACUGUUGUAAUAAUAAAAUUGUAGUUGUUUCUGUACCAUGUAUUUGGUGACUCAGAAUGGGUUGGAUGGAAUGGACCUAUUUUGGGGGCGUCACAGAUUAUAACCAAAAGAAAGUAUAUACAAUUUAUUACUAAUCCUAAUUUUUAUAAUUUUAGAAAUAUAUUUAUAUAUGCUUAAUUAUUAAUUCUAAAAAUAGUCAAUUUAAUUUUAAAAAAUCAAAACUGAACAAUUAAUUUAAGACAGAGGGAGUAAUAUAGUGCAUCAUAUAUUAAAACCUGUAAGAAUCGGAAGCGGGUAGCAAGUUCUUGGCACUCAUAAUCCUAUAGUCCCAUCCUUUACAACAAUUUUCAAUUCUUUAAUUUGACCAAGUGCAUUUUUUGCACUUAAAAUUAGUAUGAAUGUGUUCUACAAAAAUUUAAAAAUAUAUGUUUUUGUAACAUUAAAAUUCACUUCCUUGUAUGAACAAAACAAUAUUAGAA